UACCACGAGCGUCCGAGCGGGGGGAGCC
rnacentral:sRNA from 1 species